GAUGAACGCUGGCGGCGUGCCUAAUACAUGCAAGUCGAGCGAACAGACGAGGAGCUUGCUCCUCUGACGUUAGCGGCGGACGGGUGAGUAACACGUGGAUAACCUACCUAUAAGACUGGGAUAACUUCGGGAAACCGGAGCUAAUACCGGAUAAUAUAUUGAACCGCAUGGUUCAAUAGUGAAAGACGGUUUUGCUGUCACUUAUAGAUGGAUCCGCGCCGCAUUAGCUAGUUGGUAAGGUAACGGCUUACCAAGGACGAUGCGUAGCCGACCUGAGAGGGUGAUCGGCCACACUGGAACUGAGACACGGUCCAGACUCCUACGGGAGGCAGCAGUAGGGAAUCUUCCGCAAUGGGCGAAAGCCUGACGGAGCAACGCCGCGUGAGUGAUGAAGGUCUUCGGAUCGUAAAACUCUGUUAUUAGGGAAGAACAAAUGUGUAAGUAACUAUGCACGUCUUGACGGUACCUAAUCAGAAAGCCACGGCUAACUACGUG
rnacentral:rRNA from 1 species